UGGGGGAUCGUCUAAUGGUAGGACUACGGACUCUGACUCCGUCAGUCUAGGUUCGAAUCCUAGUCCCCCAGCCA
rnacentral:tRNA from 1 species